CAGUAGCCGCGGGAAAACGGAGGGUGCAAGCGUUAUUCGGAAUUACUGGGCGUAAAGCGCACGCAGGCGGUUGCCCAAGUCAGAUGUGAAAGCCCCGGGCUUAACCUGGGAACUGCAUUUGAAACUGGGCGACUAGAGUAUGAAAGAGGAAAGCGGAAUUUCCAGUGUAGCAGUGAAAUGCGUAGAUAUUGGAAGGAACACCGAUGGCGAAGGCAGCUUUCUGGGUCGAUACUGACGCUCAUGUGCGAAAGCGUGGGGAGCAAACAGGAUUAGAUCCCCCGUAGUCCCUGUCUCUUAUACA
rnacentral:rRNA from 1 species